GUCUACGGCCAUGCUACCCUGAACAAGCCUGAUCUCGUCUGAUCUCGGAAGCUAAACAGGGUUGGGCCUGGUUAGUACUUGGAUGGGAGACCACCUAGCAAGACCAGGUGCUGUAAAAA
rnacentral:rRNA from 1 species